UUUUAUGCUGUGGCAUAUAAUCGUCGCAAGGUCUCGGGAACGUGGAACGCAGUGCGAAUCUGCGGCGGACCCGCCACUGUAAGCGUUACGGAACAGGCGGACGAAGCUGCGUUGGCAGUUUUCGUCGACCAUUGGGAGCAUGCUCCUGAGAAGGUGCCUGGCAGGCUGUUUAUGCAGCGUCCGGUUAGAUGCGCGAGCCAGGAUACCGUUCGAGAUCCAGUUCCGCC
rnacentral:ncRNA from 2 species